ensembl:lncRNA CCDC26 CCDC26 long non-coding RNA
AUCAGAUAAACGAUUUGGAAAUACGUUCUUCCAAGCUGAAGGCCUGAGGAGAGAAGACACAUAGUCAUGCUGACUAAACCAGAUCACCUAGAAUUACCAAAUGGAAAGAUUGUGCCUGCAGCCUGGCCUGUUGCCCACAGCGGUCUACCUGCCACACUGGGAAAGAUCGAGCAGAGACAGAGAAGAAAAGGAGGCUCCAUUUUUCAGGCUGCUCUCCCGCAGGCUCAUGUUUUGUGUUCAUGCCAGGCAGAGAACACAAAAUGUUCCAAUAAAUAAGUAUCAAAGGUUAGUGGUGAAAAUGAAGGAGGAGGAGGCAUUGCGUGAAAAACUAAACAUGCAAAAUAUUACACACAAAGAGAACCAAAAUGCAGGUUCACUGGAAAUGAUAGACAAUAUGUUAAAACAAGAGGAGAGAAGAGAGCUGAAAUAAUCAAAUGGAAACACACAAUUUAGGGCUAAGAUCUUGUUGUGUUCAGCCACAAAUGAUGGCCAGCAGUGAGGAAUCUGUGUGUUCUCCACACUCUUCGCUCCUGGGAAGUCAACUCACAUGGACCAUGAUAUCAAUAUCUGCUCCUUCCCCUAAUAUCUGUUUGACCUUGGGUCAGUUACUUAAACUUCCUAAGCCUUAGUUUCUUUGUCUGGAAAAUAGGGAUAGUUAUACCUACCACACAACCACUUUGUAAUGAAUAUGUUGGAAAUUAUAUGCAAAUUGGCUUCCGUUGGUGUUUGGAACAUAGUAGGUUUUUAACUGGAAUAUAAUAGCUACCAUUAUCAGUAUCAUCAUAUUAAUUUAUAUUUCCAUCUUCAGCCCUUAACCCAGGAUCUUCAGUAAAUGUUGAAUUCUCAAAUUUGUUAAAUUCACUUGUCUAUACUAAUAUUUUACUCUAGGUUUCUUAGAAUAUUCUAGAUAAUAUUAUUAUGUAGAAUAUGUUAUGUAAGCUUCAUCUUAUCUGUAAAUAUAGUUUUACUUUUUCCUUUCUAAUUUUUAUGUCGAUUACUUCUUUUUCUUGGCUUAUUGAAUUGGCUAGGAUUCCCGUACAGUGUUGAAUACGUGCAGCAAGACUGCACAUCUUGCCUUGUUCCUGGUCCCACAGAGAGAAUAUCCAGUACUUCACAAUAAGUAUGUGUUAAUUGUAGAUUUUAUUAGAUUGAGGAAGUUCCCUUUCCUUUCAAGUCAGUCUUUUUAUUUUAAACAUGUAUUGAAGUUUUGUCAAAUGUCUUCAUCUAUUGGAAUAAUUAUACAUAUCUCUUUUUUAUUCUGUUAAUAUUACAUUUCAAUCUUCUGUCUACCUAAAAUCCCUAGAAUAAUCUCCAUUUGGCUAUGAUGUGUUGUGCUUUUAUAUAUUACUGAAUUCUAUAUGCCAAUAUUAUUAAAAUUUUCUGUCUUUAUGAGAAAUAUUUGAAUGUAUAUUUUUUCAUGUAUUUGUUUUGAUUUUAUUUUCAAUGCCAUUUUGUAAAAGAGCAUUAAAGUGUUAGUAUGAAAGU